AGUGAACGCUGGCGGCGUGCCUAAUACAUGCAAGUCGAACGGAGUGGCGCACGGGUGAGUAAUAUAUAGCUAAUCUGCCCCUUGCUGGAGGACAACAGUUAGAAAUGACUGCUAAUACUCCAUAGCAAGGGAUGAGACGAUAUCGUAUCAGCUAGUCGGUGGGGUAACGGCCUACCGAGGCUAUGACGCGUACCUGGUCUGAGAGGAUGAUCAGUCACCGUUGCUCUGGUCCCCUCUCCGGUCUCCUUCGGUCGUCCGCAGUAGGGAAUUUUGCGCAAUGGGGGAAACCCUGCCGCCGCCUCGCCGCUUUUCGGAUGACACUUUUCGGAGCGUAAGCUCCUUUUGUUAGGGAAGCGGUACCUAACGAAUAAGCACCGGCUAACUCCGUGCCAGCAGCCGCGGUAAUUC
rnacentral:rRNA from 1 species